ensembl:lncRNA
UCAGAGCUGGGAGGAACAUGGGGCUGGGACCCCCAGCAUGGGUUCGUUAGGCGUAACGAGCUCAUUAAGAGCAGUGCCAGGGGCUCUGGGCUCCCCUCCAUCCCCCUCCAAUGGAACCAGGCCCAGGGGGCGACCCCAGCUGGGCUCAGAGCUGGGAGGAACAGGGGGCUGGGACCCCCAGCGUGGGUUCGUUAGGCGUAACGAGCUCAUUAAGAGCAGUGCAAGGGGCUCUGGGCUUCCCUCCAUCAUCAGCCAUGGGCUCUGGGCUCCCCUCCAUCCCCUUCCAAUGGAACCAGGCCCAGGGGGUGACCCCAGGUGGGCUCAGAGCUGGGAGGAACACGGGGCUGGGACCCCCAGCCUGGGGUCGUUAGGCAUAACGAGCUCAUUAACAGCACUGCAUGGGCUCUGGGCUCUCCUCCAUCAUCAGCCAUGGGGUCCAUCCCCUUCCAAUGGAACCAGGCCCACGGUGUGACCCCAGGUGGGCUCACAGCUGGGAAGAACACGGGUCUGGGACACCCAUCGCGGGGUCGUUAGGCAUAACGAGCUCAUUAACAGCACUGUGUGGUGUCUGGACUCCCCUCCAUCAUCAACCAUGGGGUCAGGGCUCCCCUCCAUCCCCUUCCAAUGGAACCAGGCCCAGGGGGUGACCCCAGGCGGGCUCA